CACUCUUCUGGUCUGUGUUUGUUACGGCUGGAGCUGAGCUUUCGCUCGCCGUCCACCAUUGCUGUUUGCCGCCGCCACAGACCUGCCGCUGACUUCCAUCCCUCCGGAUCCGGCAGGGUGUCUGCUGUGCUCCUGAUCCAGUGAGGCGCCCCUUGCCGCUCCCGAUUGGGCUAACGGCUUGAGAUUGCUCCUGCACGGCUAAGUGCCCAGGCAAUGACACUCCAACAGCAAUGAGCAUGUCUAAUGCAGAAAUCUUGGUUUCUAACACCAUCCUUCAAUAAAAGGAAUCAAGGAUCCUUGGAGAAGCAGGUGAUUGUAAGACGGGCAGAAGAUAUACAAGACGACCCUGCAGCAUCUUGUAGUGCCUGAAAGUUUGCCACAAAUUCUUUCUUGUGUGAGAUCCAAGAACCCACUCUUUGGAUGUGGAUCCAGACCCCUUUCCGGUAACAUCUUCCUGGUGAACCAUGAAGGGAUGAUACUGAGGAGGCCAUGACCCGAAGGAAAUAGACCGCAACACUAAUUGGCUGACUUUGGCUUCUUUUAUUUAGCAUGUAGCUGACAUUUUGAUUGCCAUCUCAUGAAAGACUCUGAACCAGAACUUUCCUGCUAAGCUACUACUAAAUUAUUGAUUCACAGAAACUGUGAGGUAAUGAAUCUCUACUGUUAUUUUUGGCUGAUAAAUUUUGGGGUAAUUUAUUGCACAGUAAUUGAUAACUAGUACACAUCGGUAGGUGAUACUGCUGGGAAACUAAGUCCCACAUUUAAUGGCACACAUUCAAUGGGCCAUUAAACCCAACCCCAAAGGUACUAUUAAGAGUUGUGUUGGGAUCUCAAAUCAAAGCAAAAAGAAAAAAAAAAGAGUUGUGGACAUGAUAAAUUAUAUCUUACAAUUCGAUUAGCAUAUUUUGUUAAUGAUACAAAACUGCUACUUUUUCUAAUUUUUAAAAGAAAGCCCUUUCCAAAAUUAGAAGAAAGAAUUUCCAAUUUGUUUUUAGGUCCAUGAAAAAAUUUGCAUGAACAAGGAAGAGAUGAAAUUGUGGACAGUCAAAAGUGUGGUCUAGCUGCCCUGGUGGGCUACCAAGGAAACUUGCCAUAUUAGUCUGGAGUGAGUUUUGACUGAUCAGAUUGGACAAUAAAAGGCUCAGCUGUAAUUCCAGGAGACUUAAUUAGUCAUUUGCAACCUUAAGAUACAGCUAUCAAGAAGCCAUUUAAAGGAUUCAUGAGGGAAGAGAACAGGUGGAUACAGGCUUCAGAUUUUGAGUUUGAUACCGAGAGGAAGAAAGAGGCUCACAACUUCACAACUGUGUGAAUGGGCCAAAACUUCAUGGAAUGCUGUAAAACAAGAGCCAAAUGUGAAAUGGUUUAAAUAAUGUGAAUUAGUAACACUCUUGGAAACCUGAGUACAAUUUGUUGUUUGAUGAUAGUUUUGACUUGGUUUCUAAUGCAGUGAAGGUCAAAGAUUAAGAGACUCAUCUAGAAUCUAGUAGUAACAAAAAGGAACCCUUGGAUAUG
rnacentral:lncRNA from 1 species